CCUCCACGAGACUAGCGCCGUCGCCGGAGCACAAGGCCAUGGCGGAGCUGGUGAGGGCUCGCCGCCUCGCCCUCGCCCUCGCCCUCGCCGCCAGCCCCAGCGCUGCGGACGUGCUUGUGAGCUCUGCAUGUUCGAUUCGCGAUCGCACCAUCUGAUUGUGGAUUGCAAUGCAGGAGACGGUGAGGUGCUGCGGCGGCUACACGGCACGGGACUGCCGCCCGGGCCCCGCCCCCAACGUCCUCUCUCACCGCGUACGCUCGGUGGCAGGGAGCUAAUGAUUUAGCACUUGGACACUGUAAGUCCAAAGAUAAAUCACUGAUGAAGAAAUCAAAGCUGCUUCAUUCCUUCAGAUGAGCAUCGUGAACCAGGCUUUGUUCAUUCUGAUGAUUGCUGCCUCAUCAGAUGUCCUGGGCCUUUCGUCACAUUUGCCUUUGUUGUUUCCCAGAUGUUCACAGAUGGAGAUGCUCAAAGAUGACUAGUGAAAAAUUGUUGACAAUAUGCAUGCAAUCAGCCAUCCUACGCAUAGUUGUUCCCUUGUGUUCGUAUGUGAUACUUGAUUUUAGGGUACAACAGCCGGUCUUCAGUUAGAUUGAUCAGAUGCAUUACUGGAGCUAUCACCUGUAAAUCUCUCAAGUAAAUAGAUAUCUGCCAGAAGAUUUUCCAUCUGACCGACCCUUCAUGAUUAAAUUUACAGUUGUGAAGUCACUACUUUAUGUUGGUAAGAUCAAAAUUUUGUUGGAGCUACAGAAUGUUCAUUGAUUUACUCUAUAUAUGCUCUACAGUUAAGAAGCAAUAUGUUUGGAAGAGAAAUAUGUAGUGCCCCCUAUUCUAGAAUACAUAGACAUACAGUACCCUGAAAGUCGAGCAUGCUAACUUUUGGAUCAACGUUACACUUGCAACCAGAUUGAUUGAACCUGAAGAAACUAGCUUGUUAAUCUUAACAUUUUACUUCUUUUUUUCUAUGCAAUUCCAAUUUUGUCAGUUUUCUUUAUCUACUCAUUUUAACAUUUUUUAUUUCCGUGUAAAAGUAUAUUCCACUUUCCACUUGCUAUUCUAUUUGUUAGUAUAGCUUGUUGCAGAUUUCAACCCUUUAAGAUUUUUUUUCUCUUUUCCUCUGCCAUAUUGAGCUAGAAAGAGUUUAUCUCCAGCACUGGAUCAAUAACGAAGUUGAAGCCGAAAAAAUAAACUUUCAUGAGUGUCGAUGGGAUAAAUUGAACAGAUCUGUAGCUUAUAGUAAUCUAUACACGAUCUUUUUUGUUGUUGUUUACGAAACAUGCAAUCUUAUUAUUUAUGAUGAUAUGAAAAUGUCCAAGAUAAGCUACCUGUGAUCUCCUGUAAAAUUCUCUAAAGAAAGUAGGAGGAUAAUAUUUCAUUGACCUUCAGAUUGUUACUCUAUCAGGUAAUUGCAUCCGCUAAUAGCACCGUGACACAAUCUUCAAGCCCUCUGUAAAUACUAUAAAUUUCAAGUGGUGUUUAGAUAUCUUAUCUUUGUAGAUUUAAAAUUACUUUGGUGUUUACAGUGGCAAUCGAGCAGGUCAUGCAUGACCUAGGUGGCUGCUGGAGUCUGCAGGAACUGCUGUGCAUAUGCAUCAAUUGGUUCCUGCCUGAGUAGUUUUAUGGUGGUGCAGUUAGCAAGCCUCACGAUCACAUUGGCAGGUUGAAGUUGAACCCAGGCCAUGCAAUAAUGCAGAUGGACGAUGCAUGAUCAGGCCGGCGGCGUUGAUGUGUGGCGGCAGGACUAGACAUUGAUCUUGCCAAUGAGGGGGAUGCCGAUGGCGGUGACGAUGAGGG